GUGGGGAAUAUUGGACAAUGGGCGCAAGCCUGAUCCAGCCAUGCCGCGUGAGUGAUGAAGGCCCUAGGGUUGUAAAGCUCUUUUACCUGGGAAGAUAAUGACGGUACCAGGGGAAUAAGCCCCGGCUAACUUCGUGCCAGCAGCCGCGGUAAUACGAAGGGGGCUAGCGUUGUUCGGAAUCACUGGGCGUAAAGCGCACGUAGGCGGGAAGCUAAGUCAGGGGUGAAAUCCCGGGGCUCAACCUCGGAACGGCCUUUGAUACUGGUUUUCUUGAGUCCGGGAGAGGUGAGUGGAACUGCGAGUGUAGAGGUGAAAUUCGUAGAUAUUCGCAAGAACACCAGUGGCGAAGGCGGCUCACUGGCCCGGAACUGACGCUGAGGUGCGAAAGCGUGGGGAGCAAACAGG
rnacentral:rRNA from 1 species